GUUGGUUGAACCUUUUGAAGAUUUCCAGCACCCUUUCUGAACUUUAUGUUCAGAUUUAUUGCGGCUGGAUUCACUUUGGCAGUUCAAAACGCAGUCCUGGGUAGGGUGUGUGUGUGUGUGGGGGUGUGUGUGUGUGUGUUAGUGCGAUCGGGUGAAUGUGGCUCUAGUGUAAAACGAUUUGAGUGGUCAGUAUGCCUAGAAAAGCGCUUUAUAACUUCAGUGCUUUUAUCAAAGUCUGUCCAUUUAACCUUUCCCUCAGAUUGCAGCUCCAUGAUGACACCCGACGAGGCUCGGCCUGAUAGGAAAUUUCAAUUAUGUGAUAACCUCGAAACAAGUGAUUUUCUGUGUUUAACGGGCAAAGUGGAAGUUGUGCUCUACUAAAGCCCAUGUCUUGUUAUACGAAGCUAUAAAACUUAAGUGUUGGAGCUGAAGAGAAAGGCUGCAGUUUGCUUGGAAAGAAGCAGAAUAUUCCCGUCUGUCACCUCAGCAGCCACAGGAAAAACUCCUGAACGUUCAUCCUGGUGGUGGUCACACCCUGCUCCCUCUCUGCACCUUCAUCUCCUCCUGUGCACCUCCUCCUCCUCCUCCUCCUCCUUCCUUUUCUCCCCCCUCUCACCAUGUCACUUUCCGCGUCACAUUCUUAACGUAUUCUUUUCCAAAUAUUAGCUGUUAGCGUUUAGAAACGGCUUCAAUUUCCACUUUACCUUAGAUGCUUCGAUAAAUGUCUCCACAAGUUUUCUCACCAGGACAGAAACCAGUAGAAUGUAUAAUGUUUUUUGUUAAAAACUUAGAAAUAAUAAUAAUAAUAAUAAAAAAACACUUUUCGGGGGCUUAAUGUGGGUGUUAAAACAUGCAGAGAGCGUCUGCGCCUCAUCCAUCUGCAUGUCUCUGUUGGAUUGUGUCUCCCCUUGAAAUUAUUCUCUUUGUCUCUCGCUCUUUUGAGUUUAGUCUCGCUCACAUCUUACCCUUUGCUUCUUCACCCGACGCUCUCAUACAUACACAUUGCUUUUUAAUGUCACCCCUCGGGUAUAUAGUCUGCUGCAUACAGCAUGCAGUCUUUCCACCUGUCUGGAAACAGGAGCGCACGCGCUCUCCGCUGGCUUUUUCUUCUUGGCACCAGAAUUAGAUUGUUGGCUUUUGGAAGCUCGUCUUGCCAAUUACAACUUUCAGUUGAGUUUAAAAAA